rnacentral:rRNA from 1 species
UACGAAGGGGGGCUAGCGUUGCUCGGAAUCACUGGGCGUAAAGGGUGCGUAGGCGGGUCUUUAAGUCAGGGGUGAAAUCCUGGAGCUCAACUCCAGAACUGCCUUUGAUACUGAGGAUCUUGAGUUCGGGAGAGGUGAGUGGAACUGCGAGUGUAGAGGUGAAAUUCGUAGAUAUUCGCAAGAACACCAGUGGCGAAGGCGGCUCACUGGCCCGAUACUGACGCUGAGGCACGAAAGCGUGGGGAG